CCUACCCAGAGGGAAAUUGCAAGGAAUAUCCAAUUAGAGGCAACCAGCCUCUUUGAAAAUAUCCAGUGUACCAGGAGUGCUUAAUAAUAAUCAUGAUAAUCAUAACAAUUCUAAAUAUAUAUUUUUAAAGCUGUGAGCUGUUUCUCACCCAUGGAAAACUUUAUUUGCUAGAAAGCAGAUCCUUGCAAUUAUUCAAAUUGGAGAUUUGUAUUUUUUUGUUGUUGUUGUUCCCCACAGCCUCUCCGGUGGAAGAAGGACAGAGAAAGCCAUCCCAGAGGGGAACAGAAUCAAUCCCAGCUGCUCAUUAAAAGGGAAAAUAAUUGAUUCAACAAUCUCUUGGCUGGCCCUGCCUCUGCCCCGUAAGUGGAAGAACCUCCACAUCUCACCAGGUAAGAGGCACCCACAGGGAAUGCACAGCUCCAGCCUCUCCAUGUCAAGUUAAGAGGAACCCUGAAGCUGUUGGCUGGAUUUUGCCAAGAAUAGUCACUGCUCACAGUGCUCACCUCUUCUGCAGAGGGCUGCUGUCCUCAUUACAAGGCUUCCUGGAAGAUGUUCAUUUCAAAUAAACUAAUUAUUUUCCUGUCUGCCUCUGAGUCUAUUCAAAAUGUCUGCUGCCUCCAGAAAAAGGAGAAAGAAAAGGGGAAAUGGUUUUUAUGGAACACCUGUUAUGCUGCAGGCUCU
rnacentral:lncRNA from 1 species